rnacentral:rRNA from 1 species
GACGAACGCUGGCGGCGUGCUUAACACAUGCAAGUCGAACGGAAAGGCCCUUUCGGGGGUGCUCGAGUGGCGAACGGGUGAGUAACACGUGAGUAACCUGCCCUUGUCUUUGGGAUAACCUUCGGAAACGGGGCGUAAUACCAAAUAUUCCCUUGUGCCCGCAUGGGUGUUUGGGGAAAGUUUUUCGGAUGGGGAUGGGCUCGCGGCCUAUCAGCUUGUUGGUGGGGUGAUGGCCUACCAAGGCUUUGACGGGUAGCCGGCCUGAGAGGGCGACCGGCCACACUGGGACUGAGACACGGCCCAGACUCCUACGGGAGGCAGCAGUGGGGAAUAUUGCACAAUGGACGCAAGUCUGAUGCAGCGACGCCGCGUGA